UACGUAGGUCCCGAGCGUUGUCCGGAUUUAUUGGGCGUAAAGCGAGCGCAGGUGGUUUAUUAAGUCUGGUGUAAAAGGCAGUGGCUCAACCAUUGUAUGCAUUGGAAACUGGUAGACUUGAGUGCAGGAGAGGAGAGUGGAAUUCCAUGUGUAGCGGUGAAAUGCGUAGAUAUAUGGAGGAACACCGGUGGCGAAAGCGGCUCUCUGGCCUGUAACUUACACUGAGGCUCGAAAGCGUGGGGAGCAAACAGG
rnacentral:rRNA from 1 species